CAGAAAGUCUAGAAGGCAAAUUUUAAGUCAGAAUUGUAUGCAGCACUAAAAAAAUUUUUAAGAAGAUUUGGUGAGGCAACAUAUGUAGGUGGUUUCAUCUGGAAGUCAGAGGAAAACGCUCCUUGGAUAUAAUACAGUGGCUAAGUACAUGGUCUCAUAGGUUUUGAGGCAAGUUUUGUUGAUUUUCCCACUACUAUAUUUACCAUAGCAUGCAUAUUUAAGUCGACAAAGUCCAGUGGCAAGACAAAAGUCAG